GUCGCCGUUGACAGAAGAGGGCAAACUAUGGGGGAAAUGGCGGAGAAUGAUGAGUUUUACCUGAGAUAUUACGUGGGUCACAAAGGAAAAUUCGGUCACGAGUUCUUAGAGUUUGAGUUUAGGCCUGAUGGCAAGCUCCGUUAUGCUAACAAUUCCAACUACAAGAAUGAUACAAUGAUUCGCAAGGAAGUCUUCCUUACCCCUUCUGUUCUCAAAGAAUGCCGCCGCAUUGUUGCUGAUAGCGAGAUCAUGAAGGAAGAUGAUAACAACUGGCCGGAACCAGAUAGAGUUGGUAGACAGGAGCUUGAGAUUGUGAUGGGAAAUGAACACAUAUCAUUCACUACAUCUAAGAUUGGUUCAUUAAUGGAUGUGCAGACCAGUAAUGAUCCUGAGGGACUCCGUAUCUUCUAUUAUCUUGUUCAGGAUUUGAAGUGCUUUGUGUUCUCUCUCAUCUCGCUCCAUUUCAAGAUCAAACCCAUUUAACUUGUUCUUAUGGCGUAUGUUAAACGUUAGCUGGAUGUGCUCAGUCUCAUGUUUUGAAUGUGUUGAAUCGUGUAUCCAAAGAGAUAGUGCCGUCUAAUGGUUUCGAG
rnacentral:misc_RNA from 1 species